rnacentral:rRNA from 1 species
UGGGGGAUUUUGCACAAUGGGCGCAAGCCUGAUGCAGCGACGCCGCGUGAGGGAUGAAGGCCUUCGGGUUGUAAACCUCUUUCGCUGGGUUGAAAGGCCAUGCUUUGGGUGUGGUUGAUUUGAACUGGUAAAGAAGUACCGGCUAACUACGUGCCAGCAGCCGCGGUAAUACGUAGGGUACUAGCGUUGUCCGGAUUUAUUGGGCGUAAAGGGCUUGUAGGUGGUUUGUCGCGUCUGUCGUGAAAUCCUGUGGCUUAACCAUGGGCUUGCGGUGGGUACGGGCAGGCUUGAGUGCGGUAGGGGAGACUGGAAUUUCUGGUGUAGCGGUGGAAUGCGCAGAUAUCAGGAGGAACACCGGUGGCGAAGGCGGGUCUCUGGGCCGUUACUGACACUGAGGAGCGAAAGCGUGGGGAGCGAACAGG